GGGACCCUAAGCAAGAAGCAUUAAGUUCAUUCAUUUCUAAUAAGGUUGUAGUUGGCUUCAAAGACUGAGUUUCAGCAAUCAACAAGUUUCAGGAAGAGUUUUCAAGGCUCGAAACAUACAAGUCUUUUUGAGAGGUGCAAAAGCUACUCAGGUGCAACGUAGUGUUCUUUACAAGGCAUUCAAAAUCAUUGCUCCCAAUGCAAGUGAAUGCAACCUAUAUGCUCUAGACUCUCCUAAAAAUGCAAAUGAUGCAAACUAAAUGAUUGGUUUUUUUUUU
rnacentral:lncRNA from 1 species